rnacentral:rRNA from 1 species
AACGAACGCUGGCGGCAGGCUUAACACAUGCAAGUCGAGCGCCCCGCAAGGGGAGCGGCAGACGGGUGAGUAACGCGUGGGAACGUACCCUUUGGUUCGGAAUAGCUCCGGGAAACUGGAAUUAAUACCGGAUGAGCCCUACGGGGGAAAGAUUUAUCGCCGAAGGAUCGGCCCGCGUUGGAUUAGCUAGUUGGUGGGGUAACGGCCUACCAAGGCGACGAUCCAUAGCUGGUCUGAGAGGAUGAUCAGCCACACUGGGACUGAGACACGGCCCAGACUCCUACGGGAGGCAGCAGUGGGGAAUAUUGGACAAUGGGCGAAAGCCUGAUCCAGCCAUGCCGCGUGAGUGAUGAAGGCCUUAGGGUUGUAAAGCUCUUUCAGUGGGGAAGAUAAUGACGGUACCCACAGAAGAAGCCCCGGCUAACUUCGUGCCAGCCGCCGCAGUAAUAC